AGCGAACGCUGGCGGCAGGCCUAACACAUGCAAGUCGAACGGAUCCUUCGGGAUUAGUGGCGGACGGGUGAGUAACACGUGGGAACGUGCCCUUUGGCUCGGAACAACUCAGGGAAACUUGAGCUAAUACCGGAUGUGCCCUUCGGGGGAUAGAUUUAUCGCCAUUGGAGCGGCCCGCGUCUGAUUAGCUAGUUGGUGAGGUAAAGGCUCACCAAGGCGACGAUCAGUAGCUGGUCUGAGAGGAUGAUCAGCCACAUUGGGACUGAGACACGGCCCAAACUCCUACGAGAGGCAGCAGUGGGGAAUCUUGCGCAAUGGGCGAAAGCCUGACGCAGCCAUGCCGCGUGAAUGAUGAAGGUCUUAGGAUUGUAAAAUUCUUUCACCGGGGACGAUAAUGACGGUACCCGGAGAAGAAGCCCCGGCUAACUUCGUGCCAGCCGCCGCCGUAAAAC
rnacentral:rRNA from 1 species